rnacentral:rRNA from 1 species
CGUGUAGGCGGUUUCAUAAGUCAGAGGUGAAAUCCAGUGGCUCAACCAUUGGCCUGCCUUUGAAACUGUGAAACUUGAGGCUGUGAGGGGAUAGCGGAAUUCCUGGUGUAUCGGUGAAAUGAGUUGAUAUCAGGAGGAACACCGGUGGCGAAGGCGGCUAUCUGGCGCAGUACUGACGCUGAGGCGCGAAAGCAUGGGGAGCAAACAGGAUUAGAUACCCUGGUAGUCC